rnacentral:rRNA from 1 species
GACGAACGCUGGCGGCGUGCUUAAUACAUGCAAGUCAACGAUUUUUAAGAUAGCAAUAUUUUAAAAAUAGUGGCGCACGGUGAGUAACACGUAGAUAAUCUGCCUUUAGGUCUGACAUAACUCGUCGAAAGACGGGCUAAUAUCAGAUAAAACAAUAACUUGGCAUCAAGUAAUUGUCAAAAGCUUCGGCGCCCAAAGAUGAGUCUGCGGACCAUUAGGUAUUGGGGGAUUAACAGCCCACCAAGCCAACGAUGGAUAGCUGGUCUGAGAGGAUGAUCAGCCACACUGGAACUGAGACACGGUCCAGACUCCUAC